rnacentral:rRNA from 1 species
GAUGAACGCUGGCGGCGUGCCUAAUACAUGCAAGUCGAGCGAACAGACGAGGAGCUUGCUCCUCUGACGUUAGCGGCGGACGGGUGAGUAACACGUGGAUAACCUACCUAUAAGACUGGGAUAACUUCGGGAAACCGGAGCUAAUACCGGAUAAUAUAUUGAACCGCAUGGAUCAAUAGUGAAAGACGGUUUUGCUGUCACUUAUAGAUGGAUCCGCGCCGCAUUAGCUAGUUGGUAAGGUAACGGCUUACCAAGGCAACGAUGCGUAGCCGACCUGAGAGGGUGAUCGGCCACACUGGAACUGAGACACGGUCCAGACUCCUACGGGAGGCAGCAGUAGGGAAUCUUCCGCAAUGGGCGAAAGCCUGACGGAGCAACGCCGCGUGAGUGAUGAAGGUCUUCGGAUCGUAAAACUCGGUUAUUAGGGAAGAACAAAUGUGUAAGUAACUAUGCACGUCUUGACGGUACCUAAUCAGAAAGCCACGGCUAACUACGUGC